rnacentral:rRNA from 1 species
AGAGUUCGAUUAUGGCUCAGGAUGAACGCUAGCUACAGGCUUAACACAUGCAAGUCGAGGGGAAACGAUAUUGGAAGCUUGCUUCCGAUAGGCGUCGACCGGCGCACGGGUGAGUAACACGUAUCCAACCUGCCCUUUACUCGGGGAUAGCCUUUCGAAAGAAAGAUUAAUACCCGAUAGCAUAAUGAUUCCGCAUGGUUUCAUUAUUAAAGGAUUCCGGUAAAGGAUGGGGAUGCGUUCCAUUAGGUUGUAGGUGAGGUAACGGCUCACCAAGCCUUCGAUGGAUAGGGGUUCUGAGAGGAAGGUCCCCCACAUUGGAACUGAGACACGGUCCAA